rnacentral:rRNA from 1 species
UACGUAGGCAGCAAGCGUUGUUCGGAAUUACUGGGCGUAAAGAGUGUGUAGGCGGUGCUCUAAGUUCGGUGUGAAAUCUCCCGGCUUAACUGGGAGGGUGCGCCGGAAACUGGAGUGCUCGAGCGUGGGAGAGGAAAGUGGAAUUCCACGUGUAGCGGUGAAAUGCGUAGAGAUGUGGAGGAACACCAGUGGCGAAGGCGACUCUUUGGCCUGUAACUGACACUGAGGCGCGAAAGCGUGGGGAGCAAACAGG